AUUGAACGCUGGCGGCAUGCUUUACACAUGCAAGUCGAACGGUAACAGCACCUCGGUGGCUGACGAGUGGCGAACGGGUGAGUAAUACAUCGGAACGUGCCUAGUAGUGGGGGAUAACUACUCGAAAGAGUAGCUAAUACCGCAUGAGAUCUAAGGAUGAAAGCAGGGGACCUUCGGGCCUUGCGCUACUAGAGCGGCUGAUGGCAGAUUAGGUAGUUGGUGGGAUAAAAGCUUACCAAGCCGACGAUCUGUAGCUGGUCUGAGAGGACGACCAGCCACACUGGGACUGAGACACGGCCCAGACUCCUACGGGAGGCAGCAGUGGGGAAUUUUGGACAAUGGGCGCAAGCCUGAUCCAGCAAUGCCGCGUGCAGGAUGAAGGCCUUCGGGUUGUAAACUGCUUUUGUACGGAACGAAAAGCCCUCUUCUAAUACAGGAGGGUCAUGACGGUACCGUAAGAAUAAGCACCGGCUAACUACGUG
rnacentral:rRNA from 1 species